GUGUCAGCAGCCGCGGUAAGACGGAGGUCCCUAGCGUUGUUCGGAAUUAUUGGGCUUAAAGCGCGUGUAGGCGGAGCGGUAAGUACCUUGUGAAAGCCCCGGCCUCAAUCCGGGAAUUGCUCGGUAUACUGCCGUUCUUGAGGCAGGUAGGGGUCACUGGAACCUUAGGUGGAGCGGUGAAAUGCGUAGAUAUCUAAGGGAACGCCUGUGGCGAAAGCGGGUGACUGGGCCUGUCCUGACGCUGAGACGCGAAAGCGUAGGGAGCAAACGGGAUUAGAUACCCCUGUAGUCC
rnacentral:rRNA from 1 species